rnacentral:tRNA from 1 species
GCAUUGGUGGUUCAGUGGCAGAAUUCUCAUCUUUCAUGCAGGAGACCUGGGUUCAAUUUCUGGUCAGUGCA